CCAUCAGAUGUACGUAACCAACAGGAAAAGUUUGGAGAAGCACUCGUAAAGCAUGAAAAAAAAUUCAAGGAUAAUAAAGAGAAGGUGCAGAGAUGGAGGGCAGCCCUAAAUGAAGCCAGCCAUAUAUCUGGUUGGCAUUACAAAAAUGAGGAUUAGAUGAAAUUCGAGGCAUAACAUUGUCCUUGCCACAUCCAAGAAAGAUGCAAUUGAGUCUUGGAAAGAUGAAAAGCCUCAAAUAUUUGACAAUUCGCAAUGUAAUUUGUGAAGACCUUAAAUAUCUUCCCAAUGGGUUAAGGUUACUUGAUUGGAAUGAAUUUCCUUUAUCAUCCUUGCCGUCCACCUAUGAACCUACAAAACUCGUUGCACGUAUCAUGCAAAGUAGCCACAUUGAAUUGGACGAGCAUUUCGAGAAAUGUCGGUUCGAAACAUUGAAACAUAUGAAUUUCGCCUUUUGUGAAAAUAUUACAAAGGUACCUGACUUAUCAAUGAUUUCUCCAAACAUAAAGGAGGUGGUACUUUUCAGAUGCAUAAAUUUAGUUGAGGUUCAUCAAUCUAAUGGACUUCUUGAAGAGCUUGAAUUCUGGGAUCUCGGUGGAUGCCAAAAUAUUAGAAUUUUUCCAAGAAACCUCCGGUUGAAAUCUCUUAAAACGUUUUAUUUUAAUUGGUGUGGAAGUCAUCUGCAAAGAACGGAAAUAUUAGCGUUGCUUUCAUCAAUAGGAUAUCUCAUUAGCCUUCAUAGCUUGUGUAUAAGUUUAAAAAACGUGAAAGAUUCAAGUAACAUCUCUAAUUUACAAAAUCUUAGGGUGCUCCGUUUGUAUGAUUGUGAAAAUUUUCCAAAAGCCAGGGAUACUUCUGGUUGCUUCCCCAAAUUACAAUAUUUAGGUAUCCGUAACAGCAACAUCACUACCCUCCCUGAAAUUGCAUGUAGAUGUCCGAAAUUAGAGACCCUUUGCAUUCACCAUUGCCGGAACCUUCGGGAAAUUCCAAGGCUUCCACCUUGUAUAAGAAAUGUAUUUGCAAGAGGGUGCAAUUCGUUGAAUUCACGAUGUAGAAGAAGAUUACUUAGUCAGGUAUCUCUCUAAUUUAGGAAAGGGCUUGGACCAAACCACCUGAUCAACUGGUGAAGAUAAACUUCGAUGCGUCGUGUGAUCAAAAUAAUGUAGGCUUGGCUGUGGUUGUCAGAAAUCAAGAGGGGAAUGGCAGAGCAAUCAGACGUGGGAUAAGCCUCUGCAGUAAGAUGGGCAAUGCCAUUGGCAAAUGAGGAGAGACUUGACAAGUUGUGGUAGAGGGUAUAAAGGAAGCAGAGCAUCUUUGCUUAGACAACUGCUUGCCAGAAACUGCACUACACUUGAAGAGCCAAAGCAGUCGACCAAGACAAAGCUGCAAGUCCAAUGCAAGCACCCCACUGCCCCCAAUCAGCCUCUUGGUACUGACAAUUGACAAACCACUUCUCUACACCCACCAUCACUAGCUGAAAAACUAUGGUAAACCUUAGAAUUAUUAAAAACAUCUUGUUCUUGAAUAACCCCUAAAUUUUGUUCUUCUCCAGUUGCCUAGGGUCAAACUUAUUGAAGACUUGACAGAGGAAAAAGUGUUGAAAAUGAGGGUUUCUUUCAAUAUCUCACACACGCCAAAAAUAGAUCAUGCCCUACAUUGCAGCAUCGGUAAGACUUCUUUGGCUUUGGUUAUAAAUUGCUUUGAUUGAUGGAUUUACCAUGAAGUCAUUGUGGUUAUAAAUUGCUUUGAUUGAUGGAUUUACCAUGAAGUCAUUGUGUGGCCAUAACUAAAGUUGAUGCAAGGGCAGCAACAUUCAUCGGCAGCAACAUUCAUUGUGAGCUGGAACUGAAUGAACUUAACAAAGAAAUGUAGAAGUUUCAGGGUUUUGACUGGUACAAGUAAAACUGGUGCCGGGGUUGGUGGUGAGUUUUUAUCCUUUCUUUCCAAGGAGGUUGAUAAAAAUCAAAUACCCAUUUGCUUGUACUUUGGCGAGGCUCCCUGGACAACUCAUGGAACUUGAACUGAAGAAGAUGUAUGAUACUGUUAUUUCCAUUCAGGAGGAAAUGUUUUAUCUCCGUGAAAGAGAAGAAGAAAUGCAGGUGCUCAACAAAACAACUAACAACAGGAUGGCCUGGUUGAGUUUUCUUUCCCUUAUUGUUUGUUUAUCAGUAGCAGGCUUGCAAGUAUGGCACCUGAAGACCUUUUUUGAGAAAAAGAAGCUCAUAUAAUUUUUUCUGGACAAGUUCCAUAGUUUUCUCAAGGUUAAGUGAUAGUUUAGUGGCAAUAGCAUCUUUUGUAAUACCCCGUGUAUGUGGUUCAAACUUCAAACCCCAUCUCCUCUUGUCCGCUAUCUGCCUUUCAAAAAAAUUUACAGUUUCCCAUCUAUGAUUCUGUAGCAUAUUUCAGAAACCAUGUACUUCAAAAUAGAAUAAUUCUCAGGUCACAUUGUUAGAUCAAGCGGGGCUUUCUAUAACAGUGUGCAGAAUCUCCUCGCGGGUAUAGGUAUCUCAUAUCAAUGUAGGACGAUAUAGGGGCAAUAAAGUUUAGUUAUCUGCUAUUCAA